GAUGAACGCUGGCGGCGUGCCUAAUACAUGCAAGUCGAGCGAACAGUUCAGGAGUUUGCUCCUCUGACUUUGUCGGCGGAGGGAAGAGUAACACGUGGAUAACAUACCUAUAAGACUGGGAUACCAUCGGGGAACCGUAGCUACUACCGGAUAAUAUAUUGCACCUCAUGGUUCAAUAGUGAAAGACGGUUUUGCUGUCACUUAAAGCUGAAUCCGCGCCGCAUUCGCUUGUUGGUAAGGUAACGGCUUACCAACGCAACGAUGGGUAGCCGACCUGAGAGGGUGAUCGGACACACUGGAACUGAGACACGUCACAGACUCCGGCGGGGGGACACGGUAGAGAAUCUUACGGAAUGGGGGAGAGCGUGACGGUGCAACGCCGCGGGAGGGCUGAUGGUCUUAGGAUCGUAAAGCUAUGUAGGUAGUAAGGAAGAAAUGCGUAAGUAACUAUGCACGUAUUGACGGUACCUAAUCAGAAAGCCACGGCUAACUCCGUG
rnacentral:rRNA from 1 species